rnacentral:lncRNA from 1 species
UCACAUGUUUCUUUCAAAAAGAAUAAAAUAAAACAUUCGUUCACAUGUUCAUUUUUCAUAUAUGUAGCUUAUUGUAGCAUGUAAGAAAACAAAGAAACAAUGGAGGCCCCAACCAAUGAUCCAAGAACAGGCAAGGUUGUGGCAGCCAUGCUGGAAUCCGGUCCUGAUGCUGGAGCGGAACCAGGAGAGGAGCUAGGACUAGAACCACCGGCUGAAGGGGCAGGAGAUGGAGCACCGGCAGCCAUGACGGCGCUCAUUGAGGCGGCAGCAACAAUGAUGGCGGUGGAGACCUUCUUCAUGUCCAUGGCGUAUAAAGUGAUUAUUAAACGCACUGGAAAUGAAUGAGACCUGCGUUUAAUUACAGGGAUCCGCCGGUGAUUGUUAUUAUUUGCUUUGUUAUAUCAGGUCUGAAGAACAAUGAUGGUGGGGAGGAUCUUUUAUAGGUGAAAAUUCAUGGCUAUUUUUAGUGGCGAAAUUUUUUUUUUAAAUUACGUGUUUGGUUCUCGCAUGGUUUGCGGGAUAGACAUGCAAAUUUUUUAAAUAUUUUUUAAACGAUUUUGACUGGAUUUUUUAGAUAGGGGGAUUUUAAUAUUUUUUUAAGAGAAAGAGAGUAGUAAAUUAACUGUAAUUACAUCAACAUCAUCUUGCAAAUUAUUUAGAAUGGAAGUAUCAAUUGUUGGGGAGAAAAAACAAAUUAAUGGAGACCCAAUUAUAGUCAAAUAUCAUUUCAGCUAAAGCAUUAGUCACUCCAUUAGAUUUCCUUAAAUAUGCUUGAUGUGAACCGCGCAAAGCUCUUUUAUUCUGCAUACUAGUUCCCUUUUCACUCACCAUUAAUUGCUUGAACUAUAGUUAAACAAUCACAUUCUAAAACAAUCAAUUUCCACCCUUUAGACCAAAGCAAUUUAAGUCCACCAUAGAUUGGCCAAGGUUCUGCUUGUUAAACACUACAUUUUCCAAUAUUAUGAUCAUAGCCAAAUAUCCAUCUACCAUGGUUGUCUCUAGCAAACUCAGCUGAGCAGGCAAGUUUGGUAUAAAGUUUCCCUACACCGUCUGUGUUCAUUUUGACGCAAUCAAUUAUUGGUUGCUGCCAGGUGUUUGGUUUGAUUCAAUUUUUAACCUUAAUCAUUGGUUCCCUAUUAUGUUUAACAUUCACAACCCAACUCCAAGCCGAUCUUACAAGCAUACUAGAAUUAUGAGGAACAUUUUCAAAAACAAAAGAAAUAUUCCUUUGUUUCCAUACAAACUAGCAUAGUAUACCUAACAGGUGAUUCAAUUAAAAUCUUUGAAAUGUAAAUUUAGUUUAUUAGAAAGGUUGAAAUUCACCCAAGAUAAAAGUGACGGACAUAAGAACUUGGAGUAAAAUGAAUUCGGAAUGAACUACAUCCAUACUUCCUCAGCUUUGGAACAAUCAUUAAGUAUAUGAAAAAAAUUUAUUCUACAAAUCCAAAAAUGCAGCAACUGGCGUCAUCCGUCAAUCCGCGUCUUUCCAUACUAAUAUAUUUUAAUAGUAAAAUAGACCACAAAAUUAACUUGAGUCAAUUUGAAGUUUUUUUAAAAAUUCAGAAAAUACAAUUAUAAAACAAUUAUAAAUAUAUGUCCAAUCAAUUAUAGUAUAGAAUUCAAUUAAUUACAACUAUAAAAUAAAUACAAAUAUAUUUAAACACCCUUUUGUCUUCAUUCCUAUCUUCACCCUCUUUAGUGGUAGGAGGCAAAAGGAGGGGGUUGAUAAGGGCUUUACACCCUCUCUUAAAUGGGUUUAGACUCUCCAAAAUUCAUAAAAACAUAAGUUAAAUAUAAGGUAAACUGUAAAAAUAAUCACUUUUGUUUGUAUUAGAUUAUAUUUUAGUCAUUUAUAUUUGAAAUGUUACGUUUUAGUCAUUUACAUUAUCAUUUUGUUACGAAGUAGUGACUCUGCCGUUCAGCUCCGUUACCUCCCUAAAGACAAUCCUAUGUGGGAUAGUCACUUUUGUUUGUCUUAUAAUACAUUUUAGUCACUUCUAUUUGAAAUGUUAUGUUUUAGUCACUUGUAUUAUCGUUUUGUUACGAAGUAGUCACCGUGUCAUUCAUCUCCGUUACCUUCCUAACAACAAUCCUAGAUGGCAGUCUAAAUUGGUUUUAAAUGCCAACUUGGAUGUCCAACUGGGAUGAGAAUAGUUUUUGUUAAGACGAACGGUUUUUGUUUUCCAAUUCAAGGUGUAAUUAAUUUAAAAUUUACAAUUAAUUAAAUUUAGUUAAUUAAAAACCUAUUCUCGUACCAAUUAGGCAUCCAAGUUGACAUUUAAAAUCGAUUUGGACUACCACUUAGGAUUGCCGUUAGAGUGACCACUUUCUAACAAACGAUAACGUAACAUUUCAAAUAUAAGUGACUAAAAUGUAACCUAAGGCAAAUAAAAGUGACUAUUUUUAUAAUUUACCCAGUCUAAAUUGGUUUUAAAUGCCAACUUGGAUGUCCAACUGGGAUGAGAAUAGUUUUUGUUAAGACGAACGGUUUUUGUUUUCCAAUUCAAGGUGUAAUUAAUUUAAAAUUUACAAUUAAUUAAAUUUAGUUAAUUAAAAACCUAUUCUCGUACCAAUUAGGCAUCCAAGUUGGCAUUUAAAAUCGAUUUGGACUACCACUUAGGAUUGCCGUUAGAGUGACCACUUUCUAACAAACGAUAACGUAACAUUUCAAAUAUAAGUGACUAAAAUGUAACCUAAGGCAAAUAAAAGUGACUAUUUUUAUAAUUUACCCUUAAAUAUAUGAUAAAUUAUAAGUUAACCCCAAAAUUGCUAAGUUUUCAAUUUAAUCAUUUUAAAUACCAUAAAAUAUAAUUAAAUACGUAUUUUAACUCUAAUAAAAUAUAUACUUUAACCUUUAUUUCCCUAAAAAAAAAAUUUCCAACUUCCCCCUGCAUUUAUCUAUUUACAUACCAUUUAUUAGUUCAAUAAUUCAUUGUUAUUUUCAUGUUAUUAGUUGAAUAAAUCGAAAAGUAAAAGCAUAAAAACAAAAUACUUUUCAAAGCUCCAUUUCAAUUUUUUCAAUAUUCAUCACAUGUUUCUUACAAAAAAUAAUAAAUAAAAUAAAAUAUUCGUUCACAUGUUCAUUUUUGAUACAUGUAGCUUACUGCAGCAUGUAAGAAAACAAAGAAACAAUGGAAGCCCCAACCAAUGAUCCAAGAACAGGCAAGGUUGCGGCAGCCACGCUGGAAUCUGGUGCUGAUGCUGUGACGGAAGCAGGAGAGGAGCUAGGACUAGAACCACCGGCGGAAGGGGAAGGAGCAGGUGCACCGGCAGCCAUGACGGCGCUCAUUGAGGCAGCAGCAACAAUGAUGGCGGUGGAGACCUUCUUCAUGUCCAUGGCGUAUAAAGGGAUUAUUAAACGCACCGGAAAUGAACGAGACCUGCGUUUAAUUGCUGGAGAAUGGGGAUCCGCCGGUGAUUGUUAUUAUUUGCUUUGUUAUUGCAGGUCUGAAGAAGAAUGGUGUUGGGGAGGAUUAUUUAUAGGUGAAAAUUCAUGGCUAUUUUUAGUGACGAAAUUUUAAAAAAAAAAUUUACGUGUUUGGUUUUUGCAUGGUUUGCGGGAUAGACAUGCAAAUUUUUGAAUUUGUUUUAGCGAUUUUGACUGGAUUUUAUGGUUAGGGGAUUUUAUUAUUAUUAUUUUUUGGUAAGAGAAAGAGGAGUAGUAAAUUACAGAAUAAUAAUUACCUCAAUCAAUAUCAUUUUGUAAAUUAUUCAGAAUGGAAAUAUCUAUUUGUUGAGGGAUAAAGAUCAAUAAAUUCAUGUUGAUCCAAUUGAUAGUUAAACAUCAUUAUCAAUACAGGAGGAUGUGAGUUCGAGCGGGUUUAUCCUUCUAUUGAAAAGCUUGGAUGAGUUAUGGGUAGUUCUAAGCAUUGUAUCAACUUAUACUUUCACGGUUGAAUUAGAUUAUAAAAAAAAGGUACUAAGUAAGCUCCUGUAUUUAGGGUGUAUUGCAUUUCAGCCCUUUUACUAAAAUAGUGGCUAAAUUAGCCUUUAUGUAUUUCGAAACGUACAAAUUGGAUCAUCCUUUAAAUUUUAUCUAUUAAAUGAUGAUGUGGAACGUUAAAUCUAUGCUGAAAAUUAUUUUUUUAUAGGUAAACUAUAAAAAUGAUCCGUUAACUAUGUCUUUCGUUGUAUUCUAUUUUGGUCACCCACUUAUUAUUUUUUGUUUUGUUCAUAUCAAAUUAAUUAAUUUUUUAUUUCUUGAUUCAACCUAAAACUAUAUGGUUCUACAUUUUAAAAACAUUGAUUAAUAAUGACUAAGAAUUUUUCAUAAAUAAGACAUAUAAAAUAAAUUUUUGAAAAUUUUAUAUUUACAAAGAUGAAAAUCAAUCAAAACAUAGGAAAAAAAAACCCAAUUUCUUGUUUAAAAAAUCCAAUAAAAAUUUUAAAUAUAUAUUUAGAGAAAUAUGUUUUUAUUUAAUUUUAAAUAAUUUUUUUACAGCUUUUGUCUUGUUAGCUAUUAUUAAAUAAUCGAAUCAAUUUACUAUUUAAUCAAUUCAACCAACCAAUCUAAUGAAAUUUGAAGAAUUUGGUUUCUCAAGGUGGAUAUACACUUCAGUUCAAUUACUAUUUAUCAAUUGGGUCCUUAUUGGCUAAAAAUGAAUUUCUUUUAUACAAACAUAUAUUUAAAUUUUUAGAGGUAGGACUAAAUUGAUAGAUUUUAUAAAUAUUGAGGGUCAAAUUUAUUAUUUUUUUAAAAUUAUAAUUAAAAAAAUAAAUUUUGUAAACAUUGAGGACUAAAUUUGUUUAAUUUUUAUAUUUAAGAUCAAAUCGAUAGAAUGUAUAAAUAUUAGAGAGCUAAUUUUAUUACUAGACCAAUAAAAUAAGCCCACAUUUAUCUGAUUACAUACUAAUUAGUUCAAUAAUUCAUUGUUAUUUUCAUGUUAUUCAUUGUUUUGAAUAAAUGGAAAAGUAAAAGCAUAAACACAACAUACUUUCCAAAGCUCCAUUUCAAUUUUUUUCAUUAUUCAUCACAUGUUUCUUUCAAACAAUAAAAAAUAUAAUAUAAAAUAUAAUAUUCGUUCACAUGUUGAUUUUUCAUACAUGUAGCAUGUAAGAAAACAAAGAAACAAUGGAAGCCCCAACCAAUGAUCCAAGAACUGGCAAGGCUGUGGCAGCCACGCUGGAGUCUGGUCCUGAUGCUGGGGCAGAACCGGGAGAGGAGCUAGGAAUAGAACCACCGGCGGAAGGGGAGGGAGCAGGUGCAUCGGCAGCCAUGACGGCGCUAAUUGAGGCGGCAGCAACAAUGAUGGCGGUGGAGACCUUCUUCAUGUCCAUGGCGUAUAAAGGGAUUAAUAUUAAACGCACCAGAAAUGAACGAGACCUGCGUUUAAUUGCUGGAGAAUGGGGAUCCGCCGGUGAUUGUUAUUAUUUGCUUUGUUAUUGCAGGUCUGAAGAACAAUGAUGUUGGGGAGGAUCUUUUAUAGGUGAAAAUUCAUGGCUAUUUUUAGUGAUGAAUUUUUUUUUUAAAAUUACGUGUUUGGUUUUUGCAUGAUUUGCGGGAUAGACAUGCAAAUUUUUUAAUAUUUUUUAACGAUUUUUAGAUAAUGAGAUUUUAAAUUUUAAGAUUAAAUGAUAAUGAAUUUUUAUUUAAAUUUAAUUAAAUUAUUUGAAUAUGUUUUUUUCAUUAUUAUUUUUAAAAUUAUAAAUUUGAUUUCGACGGAUAUGAUUCUUUUACGAAACCUUAAUGGUAAAGUAAAGUGAGAGAUUCUAAAAAUUUAUAUGUAAAUAAUAUAUAAUAAGAUGUACAAUGAUAAAUGGUUGGAUGGUAAGUUUUUAUUGGGAUGAAUAUAAGACUAUGAAGGUAAAAUUAUUAGUUUAAGUUUCCGUAUUUGGGGAAGAUUGCAUUUUGGUCUUUUUAUUAAAAAAUGAGUAUAUUAGUCUUUAUAUAUUUCGAAAUGUACAAAUUAGCUCAUUAUGUUGAAAAUUAUCUUUUACGGGUAUAUAAAAAUUGUCACCCAAUCAUGUCUAUUGUUCUAUUUUGGUUACCCAACUAAAAAUUCAUUUGGAUUUAAGUUUACCUUGAACGUGGCACGAUUUGGCACUUUAUUGCCCAAUCAUGCUCAACUCAAUCACUUGGAUGCAUAAAUGGGAUUCAACUUCAUUGCACAGAGGCUUUACUUUUUCAUUGGAGGAUUACAACCCCACCAACUUUUUCUUUCCUUUUGUAUCUAAACCUAAUUAUGGGUCGAGUCACCUGGCUCGAAGACCCACUCGAAAAGUGAAAGGAUUUGUGCAAAAAUAUAGGCUCGAAAAAUGAGUUUAGGCAAAAAAAAAUAGGCCUGAUUUCUAAACGAGUCAGGCAUUGGGUAAACUUUUUUUGGCCUGGUCGAAUUUGUAAAAAAAACCUACUGCUUUUUGCUGCUAUUUUCACUGUUUUUGUUGUUGUUUUGCCACUAUUUUUGUGGCGUUUUGCUAUUAUAUUGCUAUUAUUUUGUUGUUAUUAAUUGAAUAUUGUAUAACUCUUAUUUUAUUGUAUUUGAUGUAUUAUUCUUUUUGAAUUUAUUUUUAUAUAAAAAUAAUAAUAUAAAAAAUUUUAAUACAGACAGCCCGCGCCAGACUCGGGUUUUAGCAUUUUUAUUCAGGUCAAAUUUGGGCAAAAUUUGCCCAGUUUUCAGGUCGGGUUGAAUCCAAGCACAUACUCAAUUGUUAUUUUUAACCUCAUCGGAACUAAACAAACUAAACCUUGUCAGAUACAUAAAUCAUACAGGGUUAGCAAGGCCUCGGCCUCCCCUAAAAUGAAAACUUUUUUAUUUAGGCCCCUUUGUAAUUUAUAAAAUUUUAAAUUAACAAUAAUAAAAUAGUGAAAUUACAGUUUUACUAUCAUAAAAAUAUAAAACAAUUUUAUUUGUUGGUCUAAAAUUUUAUACAUAUUAGAAUUACAAAAGGAUGAAAUUGUUACAUGCUGGUUAUUAGUUCAAUAAUUUAAUGUUAUUUUCAUGUUUAAAACUUAAAAAGUUAAUUCAACUACUUUAAUUUAUCGUAAUUUUAAUUUCGGAAAUCAAAACGUAAAACAUAAACACAAAAUAUUAUUCAAAGCUCCAUUUUAUUCAAUUUUAUUCAAUAUUCAUCACAUGUUUCUUUCAAAAAAAAAUAAAAUAAUAUAUUCGUUGACAUGUUCAGUUUUGAUACAUGUAGCUUACUGCAGCAUGUAAGAAAACAAAGAAACAAUGGAAGCCCCAACCAAUGAUCCAAGAACUGGCAAGGCUGCGGCAGCCACGCUGGAAUCCGGUCCUGAUGCUGGGGUGGAACCAGGAGAGGAGCUAGGACUCGAACCACCGGCGGAAGGGGCAGGAGAUGGUGCACCAGCGGCCAUGACGGCGCUCAUUGAGGCAGCGGCAACAAUGAUGGCGGUGGAGAUCUUCUUCAUGUCCAUGGCGUUAUAAAAAAGGGAUUAUUAAACGCACCGGAAAUGAAUGAGACCUGCGUUUAAUUACUAGAGAAUGGGGAUCCGCCGGUGAUUGUUAUUAUUUGCUCUGUUAUUGCAGGUCUGAAGAAGAAUGAUGUUGGGGAGGAUCAUUUAUGGUGAAAAUUCAUGGCUAUUUUUAGUGACGAAAUUAAAAAAAAAGAAAAAAAGAAAUACGUGUUUGGUUUUCGCAUGGUUUGCGGGAUAGACAUGCAAAAUUUUGAAUUUUCUUUAACGAUUUUGACUGGAUUUUUAGGCUAGGGAAUUUAAUUUUUUAAGAGAGAAGAGUACUAAAUUAGAGAAAAAUAAUUAAAUCAAUAUCAUCUUGUAAAUUAUUCAGAAUGGAAGUAUCAAUUUGUUGGGGAGAAGAAGUAAAUUCAUGGAGACUCAAUUGAUAGUCAAACAUCAUACCAACUAAGGCAUUAGUCGCUCCAUUAGAUUCCUUAUAAAUAUGCUCGAUUCAAACACCUAUGUUCGAGCGUAAAGCUCUUUUAUUCUGCAUACCAGUGCCUUGUUCAAUACGCCUUUAUAUUCAUCAUUGAUUGCUUGAAUUGCAAUUAAACAAUCACAUUCCAAAACAACAAGUUUUCACCCUUCAAACCAAAUCAGUUUAAGUCCACUAUAGAUUGCCCAAAGUUCUGCUUGUUCAAUACUACAUUUCUCAAUAUUGUGACCGUAGCCAAAUAUCCAUCUGCCAUGGUUGUCUCUAACAAUCCCAACUGAGCAGGCAAGUCCAGUAUGAGGUUUCCUUACACCGUCUGUGUUCAUUUUGACACAACUAGCUAUUAGUGAGUGCCAGGUGCUUGGUCUGAUUCGGUUUUUAACCUUAAUCUUUGGUUCCCUAUUAUGUUUAACAUUCACAACCCAACUCCAAGCCAAUCCUACAACCAUACCAGAAUUACGAGGAACAUUUUCAAAAACAAAAGAAUUCCUUUGUUUCCAUACAAACCGACAUAGGAUACCGAAUAGGGUGUUCCAAUUAACAUCUUUGAAUUGUAAAUUCGGUUCAUUAGAAAGAUUGACAUUCACUCAAGAUAAAAGUGACGGAGAUAAGAACCUGGAGUAGAAUGAAUCCAGAAUGAACUGCUUCCAUACUUCUUGAGCUUAGAAUAUUUUCUUCUGCAGAUCCAAAAUGCAGCAACUAGUGUCAUCCGUCAGUCUGCGUCUGCAUCUUUCCACGUUUGAGAGGAGUCGCUUGUUGUUCCAAUAGGGUCGGAAGCGUGUAAAUUAUUGUACUAAAAAAUCACACAAAGUUCAAUUCCCAGGGAAGAGAGGUGGAUCACAAGGAUCUCUUAAAUACCAAGUCUUUCCUUAGUCAGAAUAUUCCUUCUAACGUAAUUUAAUAGCACAAUUAAAUACUACUAUUAUACCCUCAAAUAUUGAAAGAAAAAUAGGACAAAAAGAACACAAGAGUUUUAACGAGGUUCGGUAAAUUAUACCUACGUCCUCGGGCACUAACACCAGAUGAUAACUUUACUAUCUCCAAAAUAUUACAAACAAAUAGAAUUCCUUAAGAAUUCUCAAAUGGGAGAAGAGAGAAAACUAAGAGAGAAAGAUUGGUUGGGAUGGUUGAAAUGAGAAAUGGUUAGGCCUAUUUAUAGUUGAAGUUCAGGGACUAACUUGCAAAUGACCUAAAAAAUUAGGGACCAAAAUUGCAAUUAUCCCUUUCAACUUUAAACAACUUGCCAACUAUUUUUUUUCUUUCGGUGCCAAUUGCACCUCCCACCAUUUUUGACUUUUCAACCCCUUUUUAAUUUAACUUAUCAACAAUCUCCACCUUGAAGAUUUGAUUAGGAUAAUCACAUCUUCACACACUUCCUUCAACUCCCCAAAUUUGAUAAAGCUAUCUUUUGUAGUGCCUCCAAAUGCGCUCUCGAGCGCCAUACACCUAAAGGUGCUCAAAUUCUCAGGAUGUUAAUCAAGUUCAAACAAUGAUUAAACUUGAUUGUUGUUACCACCUUGGUCAUCAUAUCUGCGGGAUUAUCUGUUGUCGGAAUCUUCUCAAGUAGAAUUUUUCCUUUUUCAAAGACUUCCCACACAAAGUGAUAUCUUACGUCGAUAUGCUUGGUUCUUGAAUGAUAGACUUGAUUUUUCGCUAAAUGAAUAGCGCUUUGACUGUCACAAUAUAGACUAAUGUGACUUUGAACAACUCCCAAGUCUUUCAAUAAUCCAUUAAGCCAAAUAGCCUCCUUAACAGCUUCUGUAACUGCCAUAUAUUCUGCCUCUGUAGUAGACACAGCUACUGUAGACUGUAAGGUAGACUUCCAACUCACUGGGGCUUUCGCAAGAGUAAACAGAUACCCCGUAGUUGAACGACGUUUAUCUAAAUCACCAGCAAAGUCGAAAUCAACAUAUCCAACUACAAACUGACCAAGUGCUUUAUCUUGUUCAAAAAUUAAACCAACAUCUACGGUUUUUCGAAGAUACCGUAGAAUCUAUUUCACAGCUUGCCAAUGUCCUUUUCCAGGAUCAUGCAUAUACCUGCUCACAACUCCAACAGCUUGUGAAAUGUCAGGCCUCGUACACACCAUCGCAUACAUCAAACUCCCAACUGCAUUAGCAUAUGGGACUUUCGCCAUAUAUUCUCUUUCAUCUUCAGUCUUCGGAGAUAAUUGAGCACUAAGUUUCAAAUGAGAAGCAAGUGGGGUACUUACAUGUUUUGUGUUUUCAUUUACACCAAAACAUUGUAAUACCUUUUUCAGAUAUUGCUUCUGAUUUAAACAGAGCUUGCCUCUCGGUCUAUCUCUACUUAUCUCCAUGCCGAGAAUCUUCUUGGCCUCACCUAGAUCUUUCAUCUCGAACUCUUGAUUCAACUGAGCCUUCAGCUUAUCUAUCUCAUUUUGGCUCUUCGAAGCGAUUAACAUAUCAUCAACAUACAAGAGUAGAUAAAUGAAAGAUCCGCCAUGCAGCUUCUGCAAAUACACACAAUUGUCAUAUUUGCUUCUUGUGUACUCCUGCCUUCUCAUAAAGCUAUCAAAUCGCUUGUACCACUGCCUCGGGGAUUGCUUCAAUCCAUAUAGCGAUUUGUUAAGCUUACAAACCCAAUUUCUACCACCAGCAUCUGUGUAUCCUUCUGGCUGAGUCAUAUAGAUCUCCUCUUCUAACUCACCAUGCAAGAAAGCCGUCUUAACAUCAAGUUGAGCUAGCUCCAAAUUCAACUGUGCUACCAAGGCCAACAAAAUUCUAAUGGAGGAAUGCUUCACAACAGGGGAAAAUACAUCAUUGUAGUCAAUUCCCUCCUUCUGAGCGUAGCCUUUAGCUACCAAUCUUGCCUUGUAGCGAAUAUCCUUCUUGCUAGGAGAUCCAUCUUUCUUUGCGAAUACCCACUUGUAUCCGAUUGCCCUUUUACCUUUCGGUAAUUGCGCCAACUCCCAAGUAUUAUUCUUCCGGAGAGACUGCAUUUCUUCAUCCAUGGCGCUUUUCCAUUUAUCACUUUCUAAGCUUUGCAUUGCUUCUUGAUAAGUGAUAGGAAUAUCAUCAACAACGGGAAGGGCGUAGGCCACCAUAUCAGUAAAUCGAGCAGGUUUACGAAUUUCUCUCCGUGGCCUUGCAACUGCAACUGGUUCUGGUGUACUUAGUGGUUCUUGGGUCAGAACCUCUUCAACCUCUAAUUCCUCCAUUGUGGCUGGAGAAUUAGACUUAUUAACUGGGCAAAUCCCCAUCUGCUCAAACUCCACCUGUUUUGGAGUACACUCCACCUGCUGUGGAGUAUUGCUCGUCUGAAUAUCUUUAUCUGCUACCUUUUUCAAUGUGGCAGAUUCAUCAAAGGUAACAUCUCUGCUACAGAUCAUUUUCUUUGUGCUUAAGCACCAAAGACGAAAUCCCUUCACUCCAGAAGUGAUUCCCAUAAAGAGAGCUUUCUUUGCCCUCGGAUCUAACUUUGACUCCUUCACAUGGUAAUAUGCAGUGGUUCCAAACACAUGUAAGGAAUCAUAAUCUGUAGCCGGUUUUCCAGACCAUACCUCCAUAGGAGUUUUUCUUUCUAAUGCAGAUGAUGGCAAACGAUUAACAAGAUGGCCAGCGUAUGUCACAGCCUCAGCCCAAAAUUGCUUGCCCAACCCAGCAUUGGACAACAUACAUCGAACUUUCUCCAGCAAUGUUCGAUUCAUACGCUCUGCCAAUCCAUUCUGCUGUGGUGUAUCCCUAACUGUGAAGUGUCGAAUAAUACCAUACUCUUGGCACACAUCGAAGAACGGAUCACUUUUAUAUUCCCCUCCAUUGUCCGUCCUAAGCCGCUUGAUUUUCUUGCCAGUCUGGUUUUCGAUCAUAGUUUUCCAUUUAAGAAAAACUCCAAGCACUUCAUCUUUAGUUUUCAUGGUAUACACCCAAACUCUUCUGGAAAAGUCAUCAACAAAAGUAACAAAGUAGUGUUUUCCUCCCAAUGAAGGUGUUUUGGAAGGCCCCCACACAUCUGAGUGAAUAUAUUCCAAAAUACCUUUUGUAUUAUGGAUAGCAGUGCCGAAUUUCACUCUCUUUUGCUUUCCCAGAACACAGUGCUCACAAAAUUUUAAUUUGUAAGCCUUUGCACCUUUCAACAAUCCUUGCUUUGCCAGAAUUUGCAAGGAUUUUUCGCUGGCAUGUCCCAACUUCAUAUGCCACAACUGCAUUGAGUCCAAGUCUUUGUUACCGGAAGCUGCAGCGACUGCUCCAAUAACUGUACUACCUUGGUAGUAAUACAAGUUAUUUUUCCUGAUGCCCUUCAAUAUCACAAGUGCGCCAGAUGUCACUUUCAAAACCCCAUCUCUCAUAGUAACAACUGAACCAUUGGAUUCCAAGGCUCCCAAUGAGAUGAGAUUUUUCUUCAAACUGGGCACGUACCGAACAUCAGUCAGAACUCUGGUUGAUCCAUCUUUAUUCUUUAAUUGGAUUGAACCUAUCCCAACAGUUUUACAGGCAUUGUCAUUGCCCAUAUAAACAACUCCUCCAUUUAGUUCUACUAAAUCAGAGAACCACUCCCGGUUAGGGGACAUAUGAUAGGUACAACCCGAAUCUAAUAUCCACUCAUCUGAAUGGAACGACGAUGAUGAUGCAACCAGUGAUAGUUCAGAGUCACUAGUAUCAUGCUUAGCAACACAAGCAUCUACAGCAGCUUUUCCCUUAUUCUUCAGCUUUGGACAAUUUUUCUUCCAGUGGCCUUUCUCAUGACAAAAAGCACAUUCAUCUUUCCCGAGUCUGGACUUUGACUUUGAUCUCCCCUUUUGAGUUUUCUUCCGAGUGUAUGAACGACCUCGGACUAGUAAAGCUUCUGUAUCUCUGAUUGAGUUUUUCUGUUUGUCCUUCUUUCUCUGUUCAUAACUGUAUAAGGCCGCACAGACUUCGCUCAGAGAUAUAUCACUCCUGCCAUGAAGUAGAGUAGUUUCUAGGAACUCAAACUCCUCAGGAAGUGACCCCAACAGCAUCAAAGCCAAAUCUUCAUCUUUGAAUGUCUCAUCCAUAUUCAGCAAAUCAGUGACUAACUGAUUAAAUUUGGUGAUGUGAUCAUUCAUUGUGGUACUUGGGACGUAUGUGAAGCAAAACAGUCUUUUCUUCAAGUGGAGCUUAUUUUGACUGUUUUUCUUCAAAAAUUUUUCUUCAAGUGCCACCCACAACUUAUUUGCAGAAGUCUCCUUUGAAAAAGCAUACCUCUGCUCUCGAGAAAGGCAUGAUCGAAUUGUGCCACAUGCCAACCGAUUGAUCGCCUUCCAAUCUUUCUCCUGUACAUCAUCUGGUUUCUCUUCAUCAAUGGCAAUGUCUAGACCCUGCUGAAAAAGGGCAUCUAGAACCUCACUUUGCCACAUACCAAAAUGGCCCGUGCCAUCAAAGAUCUCCACGGCCAAUCUUGCAUUUGCAAUUGUCGGUCUUGUCCACAUGGACGAUGUUGAAGCUCCUACACCGACCGUUUUCUCCAUAAUCUUUCAAUAUACCUAAGGAAAUCUUUUCUGAUGUGGAAGAUCAGUUUAAACUGCAACCACAGAGCAUACUACGAUUAACCUUCGGCUCUGAUACCACUUGUUGUUCCAAUAGGGUCGGAAGCGUGUAAAUUAUUGUACUAAAAAAUCACACAAAGUUCAAUUCCCAGGGAAGAGAGGUGGAUCACAAGGAUCUCUUAAAUACCAAGUCUUUCCUUAGUCAGAAUAUUCCUUCUAACGUAAUUUAAUAGCACAAUUAAAUACUACUAUUAUACCCUCAAAUAUUGAAAGAAAAAUAGGACAAAAAGAACACAAGAGUUUUAACGAGGUUCGGUAAAUUAUACCUACGUCCUCGGGCACUAACACCAGAUGAUAACUUUACUAUCUCCAAAAUAUUACAAACAAAUAGAAUUCCUUAAGAAUUCUCAAAUGGGAGAAGAGAGAAAACUAAGAGAGAAAGAUUGGUUGGGAUGGUUGAAAUGAGAAAUGGUUAGGCCUAUUUAUAGUUGAAGUUCAGGGACUAACUUGCAAAUGGCCUAAAAAAUUAGGGACCAAAAUUGCAAUUAUCCCUUUCAACUUUAAACAACUUGCCAACUAUUUUUUUUCUUUCGGUGCCAAUUGCACCUCCCACCAUUUUUGACUUUUCAACCCCUUUUUAAUUUAACUUAUCAACAUCGCUCUUAUAAAAUUAGCCAUAAAAAUUGUCGAACACAUUGCGAACCACCAUAGGACCAAGAAAGUUCCCAUUUAUUGUCCGAACUAUUCCAGGAAUCAUGAGAUAAGAAAGUAUAGGCUAUUUUAACAGUUAAGUCUCCAUUCAUAGACCAUUUAGAUACUAAUGAAUUCGAUCCAGCAAGUGCACGAGGGGGUAGAACACCAGCUUUUUUGUCAAAAAAAGGUUCGUCCAAAUGAUUUCUAAUAUACCUCCAAUUCCAUUCACCGUCAUUUCUAACCAAAUCUUAGAGGAUGGGAUUAUCAUCUCGAGCCAUAUUAUUCGGAUCAUGAAGUAUCAAAGGACCUACCUCAGGAAUCCAAUCAUCAACCCAAAAUUUGACUGAAUUCCCAUCUCCUAUGGACCAACAGAGGCUAUCUCGUAAGAGAGGUCAAACUUUUGCAAUGGACUUCCAUACAAAAGAGCUUAUGUUGCACGUAAUUACCAAUGGACAUACCUCCUGAAAUUUGUAUUUAUCUCUUAUCACUUGAACCCAUAAAGCAUUCUUGUUAGUACUGAAAUUAAAGCCCAACUUUAAGAGGAAAGACUCAUUUUACUGCCUUAAAUGUCAAAGACCCAGUCCUCCAUUAGCCCGAGGUUGGUAAUAGUUAUCCCAUUGCACUAAUGUUGGUUUAGAUCUUAAGGAAGAACUCCCCCAAAUAAAACUCAUUGAAAUACUAGGUAUCAAAGUUGUUUUGUAACAACCUAUUUUCAAUGGUACAAAAAAUGAUAGUUUUAAAAUUCCAUUUUCUGAGGACUAAGUCAGCAAAUAUUAUUUAAUAAUAUUUAUGAAUGGUUUAUAUUAUUAUAAUGGUUAUUAGUUCAGAAAUUUUAUUGAUUGAUUAGUAAUUAGUAUAGAGACUAAAUGUAAAAACUGUAAAAGUUGAAUUUAAGUGGAUUGUUUAAUUAGUUGAGUAUGAUUUAAUUAUUGGAGGAUUUGUUUGACAAUAAGCCAAUUUUGGACAUAAUGGCUUGCCAUGGAAUUAGUUUAGUUGAAAUUUUAUAUUGAUUUUUAGUUAAAAAACAUAAAAAUUAAAAGGUUUAAAAUAAUAAAACAUGGAAAGUGCCAUCAUCUUCCUCAUUUUUCUUAUUCUCCUACGAAAACAACAUUUUUGGAGCUAGGAGAGUUCAGCCAUUUCACAACCUUCCAUGUAGGUAUAUUUGAGCUUGGUUUUUUGUAAAUUUUAUAUUUUUGUAAUCGUUGUAACUUAAAUCUAGCUAUAUUGUACCUCCGUUUUUAAAACUGUUAAAGAUUUUAAAUGCCACCAUUAGAGAUAAUUGAAGCUUUUGGUUGUUAAAAUGGUGCUUUAAAAACUUAGGAAUGGAAAAAUGAUUAAAUUGUGAAGCUAAUUGUUAGUUUUGAGUUUAGGGACUAAAUUAUGAAUAAAUUGAAAUUGUUAUAUUUUUUUGUAAAUUGUGGUAAUAGGAGGCUGUAUAGGGACAUAUUUGAAGUGGGUUUAAAUUUUGGAGUUUAAAUUCGGAAGAUAUGAUAAGUUUGGUUUUAGGGACUAAAUUGAUUAAAAUGAAAAACUUUAGGGGAAUUUGGAUAAUAAAAUUGAGCUGAUUUAUGCUUAUAAUAGGGUGAAAUAAGAGGAUUGAAAUUGAUAAAUUGAAUUGAACAAUUGUAUAGCUAAAAAAUUAGACCAAAUCAGAAGUAAUCGUGGAAAAAAAGGCAAAAUUAUUGAUUAGUCCUUAGAGACUUGACCGUUUUCUAUUUGUCCAGAUAAGUUCAUAUGGUAGGAUUAUACUUAAUUUUCUAUAUAUUUGAAUUAUGAUUUUGAGUAUCUUGAUAGUAAAUUAAAUUGUUUGCAAUUUGGUGCAAAGAGGUGAGGUAUGAACUAAAUCGUAAGGAAUUGAACAAUUAAUUGAAAAUUGAAAUAAUUAAGGAAAUAACCUUAAAUUGGACUGAAAUAGGAUAUAUUAUGUGAUAAAGUGAUUAUUUGAGGAAAUGAGCUAAAAUGAUUCGAUUUAGAUCGGUUGAAAGUGAUAAUGACGGAAUUGAAUAUAUGUGAAAAUAUUAUAUAAUUUUAUAAAUGUGAAAUUGAAUCAGUAUUGUUAUGUGUUAUGCUAUCAUAUUUGAGAAUUGAUGAUCGGUUAAUGAAAUUAUGUAAUGAAAUUGAGAAAUUGUUAUUCUUAUUAAUUGUUUGGGUAGAGUCAGAUAUAGUUGGAGUGUCGAUGAGGCACUGGGUGCCAAACUACUUCAGUUAUACCGAUGAGGCACUGGGUGUCAAACACAUUGAUGAGCACUGGGUACAAACUAUUUACUUUGACAUUGUCUGAUAAGGCACUAGGUGUCAAAUUGGUAUGAUAGGUGGGAUUCAUAUAUCCGUUCAAGUCUGAGUUAGAUUAAUAGGGGUAUAAAAAGAAAUUUUGAUAAAUGAUAUUUAAAUUGGGUUGAUAUAAUGAUUUGAUGAUUUGUAUACAUAAUGCGAUCUAUAAAUAUCGAUGGUAUGUGAAAAAUUAUACGAAACAGUUAUAUAAACCUAGAAGGCCGAUAUAGAAAUGUAAUAAAUCAAAGAAUUCGGUUCGAAAUUCAAAAUAAGGAAAUGAAAUGGUAAUUGACAUUAGAUUGAAAUUGAAUGUAUAAUAGAUAAAUAGAUGGAAUGAUCUGAUAUUAUAAGAAUGAUGUUCAUAUGGUUAAAUGUUGAUUUGGUUUUUAGUAUGGUAUUGAAAUGUGAUUCUAAGUGAUUUGGUUUAUUUCAUAUUGAAAUGUUAUAUGAUGAGGUUAAAUGUUAACUCACCUUUUUUAUUUUUGAUUUGUCAUGUUACUAAGCAUUGUAUAUGUUUACCUCUUUUAUUUUCCCUUUCCUUGUAGAUUGUCAAUUUGUAGAACACAUCAAGCGAAUCAUCCAAAGCUCACAUUAUCCUGGUAUGUGUUCAGUAGUCUUUAGACCGCAUUAAGGCCCGAUUAUGUAAGGCAUGUACUUAGGACUCGUUUUGGUUUACUUGCAAAGUGAUAUGGCUUGAAAUCUAUGUUGAUAGAAUUAUGACAAAGAUAAUGCUUAAUGGAAAACAUAUGCAUUAGUAAAUGGAUUGAAUUGUGCAUUUGACAUUUGAAAUGGCAUUUGGGUAUGCGAUUACAUAGGUAAUAUAAUGUUAUGAAAUGGUUAAAAGGCUUGGCUGAUUAGGUUGAGUUUAUUUAAGCUAAUUUGAUAUGUUAUGAUGCCAAAUUGUGGAAAUAUUGAAUUAGUUUAUUUGAAAUGGUGAUAUAUGAUGUUUUGACAAUGGUAUGAAUUAUGUGUUUAUAAUAUGUUGUGAUGUUUUUAGUGGUUAAUGAGUAAGAGAUAACAUGAUAGGUUAUUAAAGAGUAUUGAAUGAUUUUGAUACCUUGUGUGAAAAUCAUGAUGGCAGUUACAUGAUGAUGAAUAAAUAGGUCUAGUAGGUGACUUAAUUUGAAGGAUGAGUAGUAAUGGAUUGUUAUAGUUGCAUGAUAAUUGAAUUUGCACUAGUAAAAUGGAAUAAGCCUAGAUUUUGUCUAGUUGAUUUGGUUAGUAUAUGUUUUAAUGUUAGAAUAGGGAAUGAGUUGGAUGUAAUGGACCAUGAUUGGAAUAGUGUAACAUUCAUUCACUUUUGGUUGAUGUUACGUCCAUGAUGUAGUACCCUUGAUGUUUGUGGUUAAAUUAGUAUAUUUAAUUUUAAUUUUUUAUGUUAUAUGACAGAUUUUGGAGUGCUUAUUGAUACUAGCAUAGGCAUUUUUAAAAGUGGUAUUUGACAAUUCUGUGCAAAAGUACUUAUACUCUGGUAUUAAUUAUCGAUACUUGAUCAUAUGAACAAUUUUCUUAAAACAAAUAGUUUUAUUAUUCGGUAUCAAUACCAAAUAAAGUAUCGACACCAAGCAAUUAAGUAUGGAUACUAACUCUAAUAUUUUGAAAAUUUACAAUUCAACCCUAUUCAUGCUCAAACUUUACAAUUAAACCAUUGUAUGUUCUAAUUAUGGGAAUUGGAACGCAUUCGUAUUUGUAAUUGUAUGUUUUGAAUUUUUAUACAAAUUAUUUAUCGACAGUUGCCUAUCAAUGAAUGUGACAUCACGUUAUUCGGAUUUGACAUAAUAGGGUGUUACAUGUUUGCAUAAAAUAAUUGGGGAUUGACAUAAGAAUAGAUUGUACCAAAGUAACACGACCCGCCAUCGAAAUAAGUUUAGCGUCCCAACUAUCAAGUAAUCUAUAGACCCUAUCAAGGACAAACUUAAAGGUACUAAUAGUGAUACACUGUGAAAGGCGAUAUUAGCAGGAGUAUUCUUUGAAAAGAAAAACAUUGGUCUUUUGGGCAUUAACUUUGUGAUCCGAGAAAAGUCAAAAAGUUCUAAAUUAUUUUAACAACUUUUACUUGUUCUAUAUCAGCUUCAAUAAACAGGAACAAACCAUCCGCCUCUAGGGCAUGCUUGCAAUAAAAAGAUUAGUUUCCAAACCCUCUCUCCAACCAAUUUAUGAAUAUAUUGUCCCAAUCUUUCCAUACAUAGAAUAAAUAAAUAUGGAGAUAAAUGGCACCCCUACCUAAUACCUCUCAAAGGUUGGAACUCAUCCGAUAAAACACCACUCCACAGAGUUUGCAUACAAUCUGAAGAAAUGCGUUCCAUAAUAAUUUGAGAUAUUCCAUGAGGAAUGAAACGUAGUUGGUGCUAGACCAAGAGUGUUAAAAUGCAUGACGAGAGAAUCCCGCAAUUUAAAAAUGUUUCAAGAGAUGGGUGGGCAUUGGGCUCCACCUCUUGGAUCAAACUUAAUAUAGAUGGUGGCAUGGUGCUUUAAAGACAUGGGUUGGUCUUGCUUCAGUAGGAGGUGUUGUAUGUAAUUGUAGAGGCGAAUGGAUGCUAGGAUAUUGCAUAAGCCUUGGGUAGUUUAAUGUCCUUGAUGUGGAGCUUUGAUGUCUUUUUGAUGGCUUACAGUUAAUGUGAGAAAGGGGUUCGAAAAUGUACUAGUUGAAUGUGGUAGCUUGGAAGCGAUCUCGGUUAUAUUGAGCAGUAAGUCUAAAUCUUGUGGAUCGACUCUAGUGUGACAAAUACGCAAAUUGGUGGAACAUUGGGUGGUACCACCAGAAAACUUGUGGUGCAAGAAACAAAAUAAAGUAAAAUAAGAGAUUUGAGAUGUGAAUUACUUUCUUUAAAGUUUAAUUUUACCUCUAGAAUACAAAAUUUAGGAGUAACAUAAUUUGAGUUUUUAUGUAGGCACAGGAUGAUUCCAAGAUAUAUUCUUUUUCAAGGGUAAAUUAUCCAGAUGGACAUCCAACUUUUCAAAUGCUUUCAUUUUAGUUACCUCCAUUACGACAAUCUUCCAUUUUGCGUCUGACAACACGUAAGAAAACAUAAACACAAUAUUAUUCAAAGCUCCAUUUUAUUCAUUUUUUUCAAUAUUCAUCACAUGUUUCUUUCAAAAAUAAUAAAAUAAUAAAAUAUUCGUUGACAUGUUGAUUUUUCAUACAUGUAGCUUACUGCAGCAUGUAAGAAAACAAAGAAACAAUGGAAGCCCCAACCAAUGAUCCAAGAACAGGCAAGGUAGCGGCAGCCACGCUGGAAUCCGGUCCUGAUGCUGGAGCGGAACCAGGAGAGGAGCUAGGACUAGAACCACCGGCUGAAGGGGCAGGAGAUGGUGCACCGGCAGCCAUGACGGCGCUCAUUGAGGCGGCAGCAACAAUGAUGGCGGU